rnacentral:tRNA from 2 species
GGGGGAUUAGCUCAGCUGGGAGAGCACCUGCUUUGCAAGCAGGGGGUCGUCGGUUCGAUCCCGUCAACCUCCACCA